CACAGAACCCUGUAGGGCUGGACCCUAUAGUGCUUGAAGUGUCAGUACCUGCUGCAAGGAUGUUAUACGGAACCUUUGGCAGGCUGCUACAGAUGAAUAAUAAUAUAAACCUGUGCUAGUUAUUUAUUACGUCCCAGCUCCAUAUUUAUCCUGCAUUGCCUGCUCAGUGAAAUGCUUCUGGCCCUUUAGUUUUUCCUUUACCAGCUGGCAUGAUUUUAAGCUUUGUCAGUAGAGGGCGCUGGAGAGACAUUGCCGGAGAAUGGAGUUUCCCUUUCUGCUUCCGGCUUCCGGUGUGUUCUCUCCAGGCUCCGGCCUGAUGGGUGACUUCUUCCCAGUCUGGCUUCCGCAGCACCCCGGGCUUUGCCAGCACCCAGCUCCCGCAGCAUGGGCAGCUCCUGUGACAGCAGGUGCCCACAACCUGCACAACCUCCAGUGCCUGCCUGCUAGCAGCUUUCUCCGCCACCCUCUUCAGGUAGUUCUGUAGCAGAGCAUCUCAUGAGACACCUCCCUGUGAGCAGCUUUUUCCACCAUUGAGGAUGGAUUUCCAGCAAGUUCUGCCCAUGUGGUACCACAGCCACUUCUCUGCCAUGCCGUGAACUGCAGAUGUGCCUUCUUCAAGGCAUCCUAGAGCCGCGAGCGGCCUCGCACUGCCCGCGCGUUUCCUCUGCUCCCCAGCGCUCUCCGCCGGCCGUGGCCGCACGAUAGCUGGCAGCACAGUCAGCCACUGCUUGGGAGCUCGGAAGAUGCUCCAGCGCCGCAGCAGGUGCUGCGAAGCCACUCAGCCCUGGCGCAGGAACCAGUGCAGCUAAUUGGCGGGCAGUCAUCGGGGACGGAAGUGGCCGCCCAAAGCCGGAAGUGGUCCUGGCCCUGAGCCAUGUCCUCUCUAGGACUGCCGGAGGCUCGGCAUCUCAGUGAUAGACCCAGGAAGUCAGUGGCGGGACGGAGCGGGGCGGGCUGUGACGACUGAGGUCUGCAGCAAAACGGAGUCCAGCCCUUUGGUCUUUGCUUCCUUCGGUAACGAACGCCCUACGAAAGGGAAGGCAGCCCCCAGGCCCCGAAGGCAAGCUUGCUGCUCAGACGCCUCUGAAGUUGGGGCUUGGAAAGGAAGCUGGAGCUACAGGAGUGAGCCCUUCGGAUGAACCGAGGAAAAGCGGACUUCCUGGGUCAGCGUCCAGUACAGUAGCUGCUAGCUACAUGCGGCUAUUUAAACUCUAAUUUGAGCUGAUUAAAACCAAUUAAAGUUAAAAACUUGAGGGCUCUA